GGAAUCUUCGGCAAUGGACGAAAGUCUGACCGAGCAACGCCGCGUGAGUGAAGAAGGUUUUCGGAUCGUAAACUCUGUUGGUAGAGAAGAACGUUGGUGAGAGUGGAAAGCUACAUCAAGUGACGGUAACUACCCAGAAAGGGACGGCUAACUACGUGCCAG
rnacentral:rRNA from 1 species